rfam:Jatropha curcas cultivar GZQX0401 scaffold339_69, whole genome shotgun sequence.
AUACUUACCUGGACGGGAUCAAUGGGCGAUCAAGUAGGCCUAUGGUCUAGAUUAGUGACCUCCAUUGCACUUAGGAGGGUGCCGGUCUAAGGUCUCCCCAAGUUGGGAGAGCCUACGUCAUAAUUUGUGGAAGUGGGGGCCUACGUUCGCGCGGCCCCUGU